UCUCCAUAGGUGAACCUGCGGAAGGAUCAUUAUUGUAUAACCGAGGUGCGAGGGCUGUCGCUGACCCGAAAGGUCGUGCACGCCCGAGUGCCCUCACACACAUCCAUCUCACCCCUAUGUGCACCACCGCGUGGGUCCCCCUUUGGCUUGUUCGGAGGGGGGCUUACGUUUUCACACAAACUUUGUAUGCAGUGUAGAAUGUAUUUUUUGUUUUUGCGAUCACGCAAUCAAUACAACUUUCAACAACGGAUCUCUUGGCUCUC
rnacentral:misc_RNA from 1 species